AUGGAAAUAAUCGUCGUGGACAAGUCAAUUCAAGUUUUCUUGAAGCGCAAAUUCAAAUUCAUAAGAUUAGAUGUUUCUUUCGCGAUAAAGAAUGGGUCGGAGAUUCGUUUUUGGGAAGACAUCUGGCUAGGCAAUGCCAGUCUCCGAGAACAAUAUCCAGGCUUAUACAACAUUGUUCGCGAUAAGAAUAAUACUAUUGUGCAAGUGCUCAGUUCAUUCCCGCCGAAUAUUUCGUUCAGGCGGGAUUUGAUUGGCCCCCGACUUGUGUCAUGGCAUAAUCUUUUAUCCCGACUGGAUUCGAUUAACCUGACACAAGGGCGGGAUGUGUUUCGCUGGAACCGUACUACAUCAGGGUCUUUCACUGUA
rnacentral:rRNA from 1 species